rnacentral:rRNA from 1 species
UAGGGAAUCUUCGGCAAUGGACGAAAGUCUGACCGAGCAACGCCGCGUGAGUGAAGAAGGUUUUCGGAUCGUAAAACUCUGUUGUUAGAGAAGAACAAGGACGUUAGUAACUGAACGUCCCCUGACGGUAUCUAACCAGAAAGCCACGGCUAACUACGUGCCAGCAGCCGCGGUAAUACGUAGGUGGCAAGCGUUGUCCGGAUUUAUUGGGCGUAAAGCGAGCGCAGGCGGUUUCUUAAGUCUGAUGUGAAAGCCCCCGGCUCAACCGGGGAUGGUCAUUGGAAACUGGGAGACUUGAGUGCAGAAGAGGAGAGUGGAAUUCCAUGUGUAGCGGUGAAAUGCGUAGAUAUAUGGAGGAACACCAGUGGCGAAGGCGGCUCUCUGGUCUGUAACUGACGCUGAGGCUAGAAAGCGUGGGGAGCAAACAGG